AUAAGCAUCAUCGCGGCUUAACUCGACAAUCUACACCUCCUUGUCCCCGCAAUUUCAAUCCGAGUGGUUUCGAGCUUUUCGAUACCAUAUCACCGGCAUCGUCUCCCCCUCGUUUCCCCUUUUGUAGGGACGACACAGAUCCUCCUAGGAAUUCAUCGAAGAAGAACAAUCAGGUGAACCAGUGCUAAAAACUAGACAACAAAAACCCAAACCCAAGAAACAACAUCCCCAAAAUCAUAUCAUGAUGAGGAACACUACAGUAGUGUAAGAUCAAAAGAAGACCCCUGUAAUGGGCCAGCAAUUCCAAUUAUAAUUAAGGACAGUAUCUAUACAGGAUCAAUCAAAUUAGUUAUGGCUGGAAGCGGUUGUGAGAGCGCCUAGAAAGUUGAAGAGGUUUUAAUGGUAAUGUUGUUGCUGCUAUAGAGUUUCUGGUAGCAGAACAACUUGGGCUGAAGAAGGUGCAGCUUUAAAUGAUUCACAUACUUGCCAUGCAAAUGGUUCUUAUGGUAAUUGCGGCACAUGAUGCGGACAUUGGAUCUUGAGUCUCUCUCACUCAUUUUUCCAGAGCCUUUUUUUUCUGUAUAGUAACCAAACAAAUGAGGUCGGAAAGGGUAAAAAGGAGCAGAAACAAGGCAAGACAGGAGUAUCUGCUAAAUCUGCAGCAUCUCGUGGAUCUGAUGGAGUGCCACCUGACAUGGGAGCACUUUGAUAUGAGCUUAGUUAAUCUCAUACAUGCCAAUGCCAUAUGUGGGAUCUUAUCCUUACGUGCUGGCAGUCUCUUGAAAAUGAAUCUGAGUGCUCCAUGCCCUCUGUAACGUUCUCCUUCUUUAUUCUCUGGAUUCCUUAUCCAUCCACAUGUUAAGCAAGCAGGCAGGAUAACCAGCUUCUGCUUUUCAACUCCCAAGUUUACUUUUGAGAUUCCAUGUAAAUAGUUCUUAUGUAUCUUUGGCAAAACAUGAGACUAUACAAACAUAGAAUGAUGAUGGUGAAAAGAUUAGUAACAGAAAUGGUAUAGAUUCUUGUCUAAAUAUGCUACUCUUCA